rnacentral:tRNA from 1 species
GUAGAUAUAGUUUAACAAAAAUGCUAGAUUGUGAUUCUAGAGACAGAGGUUAAACUCCCCUUAUCCACC